rnacentral:lncRNA from 1 species
GAAUAUGUUGUUGUUGUUAUAUUGUUAUAAGAAGAUGUUUAUGUUAGGAUGUAUAUAAUUAUUAUUAUUAAGUGAUGAUUAUAUUGUGUAGUUUAAGUUAUUAGUGAUGAUGAAUACAUGAAGUUAUCUAGGAGUUGUUAAAUGUACUUGAUGAUGGUUAUGUUAAGUUGAUAAGUUGUCUUCUAUUCAUGAGAUGCUUGGUGGAGAAAUGUUAUUACAAAUUAAUGAUGUUGUUAUGUCUUAUAUGAAUUAGGAUUAAGAUGUUGUUAUGUUGUAUAUGAAUUAUGAUUAAGAUGUUAUGUUGAAUAUGAACUAUGAC